UACGGGGGGGGGCAAGCGUUGUUCGGAAUUACUGGGCGUAAAGGGCUCGUAGGCGGCCAACUAAGUCGGACGUGAAAUCCCUCGGCUUAACCGGGGAACUGCGUCCGAUACUGGAUGGCUUGAGUUUGGGAGAGGGAUGCGGAAUUCCAGGUGUAGCGGUGAAAUGCGUAGAUAUCUGGAGGAACACCGGUGGCGAAGGCGGCAUCCUGGACCAACACUCGUACGCUGAUGAGCGAAAGCCAGGGGAGCAAACGGG
rnacentral:rRNA from 1 species